rnacentral:lncRNA from 1 species
GAAGCGCUGAAGAGACAUCGGAAGGCCUGGCAUCAUCCCCCCCCCCACCCCGGUGCUCUUUGUUUAACGAAGACUUGGAGACAAUCACCGCAUCAAUGCGACAAGGAGAGCGCUGAGACACCUUGGAGACAACGGAUGGCUGCUGGCUGACACCAGAUCACACACGGAUCCACAAACGUAAACUGAUAAGGUUGUGAACCUGGAGCACCCGGCCAGUGGGGAACAGGGUCACAGAGAGCAAAGGAGGCUGCUUCCAAACGGCCGUUCCUUACAGCUCUGCUUCAUCAACUUCUCUCUAUUUGAUCUGACUCGAUCUCGGUUUCCGUUGGAUUGUAUUAAAUGGUGCUGCCUCGCAUCCCGAAAUCAGUCAGUAAAACAAGUUUUCCUCCUCGGAUCGUUCCUGCCGUUCUGGUUCUUCUUCCUCGAGCCCAGCUCCCCUCUCCCGACCCCUUUUCCCUUUUCCUUCCCCUUUUUGGGGCCUGCUGCCCCUCCAUCACGGCCAUAGACGGAGCUCGUUCACCCCGUGACAGCGGCAGAGCAGCUGUGCCACAAGGAACCACAGAAUCGCCGAGCUCGGAAAAGAGCUCCGAGCUCACCCAGCCCAGCCUCAACCUCCCCUGGGCGCCUCGAGGCCGUUCCCUCCCCUCCUAUCGCGGCUCCCCCCCCUCCUAUCGCGGCUCCCGCGAUCUAACUUUGGGUUGUGGAGUCUGAUUCCGCGAGUCACCGCACUGGCUGAGUGCUGCAGCUUCACAGCCUUUAGCACCACUUCACUAAUCGAAUACCGAGUAGACACAAAUCCUCACCACCCAAAGGCAAAUCUCUUAACUGCUUAAUUGCCUUCUAACCAUCGCUUUCUUAACAAACAUUUGGGCGUAACUUUCGGAUGUUUUACAACGUAAACAUAAACGGAGCCUCUGAAUUGUUUAAUUACCCCCCCAACGUUCGUCCCCCUUUUGUACCCAGUCGUUGCUCUGCUCAUUCAUCCGCCCGUGCGUAGAGAUUCGCUGGGAACGUGGGAACGGAACGUUGCUGCAUUGAUACAAAAGCAGCAAUUGGUGUGAAGAAUGGAGCAUCACGCCUUUGUGUUCUGUAACUCAUCCUGCAAACAGCUGAUCUAAGGAGUGAAACGCUGUGUGUGUCAGCGGCACGUCUUACAAACGUAAGCACUGAAUUACUAACAACUUCUUCCUCACAAAACUGCAGAAGGCUUUAAAUGUUCCAAACAACGUGGGUGUAGUGUUCUGAACUAGGAAACACGCUGUCAGGUCGUUCGUUACACCGGCAGAAGCGAAAUCCACCCAACAGAGCUCCAAGGAGCAAAAUCCACCCAGCAGAGCUCCAAGGAGCAAAAUCCACCCAACAGACCUCCAAGGAGCAAAAUCCACCCAACAGACCUCCAAGGAGCAAAAUCCACCCAACAGAGCUCCAAGGACUCAGGGCCUCUCCGCAAAGCAGAGCUGUCCCCUCUGUGGGGAUGUGAGGAUGCUGUGGGCUCUGCAAUCAGAGGCAGUGACCCAGAACAGAUUUUCACGUUCACUCUCUGUGUCAACAGCUUUCCCAUGGUGGCAGUACCAUAGGAGAUGACUCCAUAAGCUGCUUCAAAAAUUGGAAUUUCUCUAGAUAGACUUUGUAUCUUGUCUGCGAAAACACGAGGAAAGACUAUAUGCUUUAAUUUGCCUAAUCCUUUUUUCCCUUUAAGCUGGUUUCAGCC